rnacentral:rRNA from 1 species
CCUACGGGAGGCAGCAGUGGGGAAUAUUGCGCAAUGGGCGAAAGCCUGACGCAGCGACGCCGCGUGAGGGAUGCAGGUCUUCGGAUCGUAAACCUCUGUCAGCAGGGAAGAACGGUCACUGUGCUAAUCAGCAGUGCAUUGACGGUAACUGCAAAGGAAGCACCGGCUAACUCCGUGCCAGCAUCCUCGGUAAUACGGAGGGUGCGAGCGUUAAUCGGAAUUACUGGGCGUAAGGCGCUCGUAGGCGGUAUGUCAAGUCAAGGGUGAAAUCCCCGCGCUCAACGUGGGAACUGCCUUUGAAACUGGCAAACUGGAGUGUGUGCGAGGAUAGUGGAAUUCCAGGUGUAGGAGUGAAAUCCGUAGAUAUCUGGAGGGACAUCAGUGGCGAAGGCGACUAUCUGGCACAUAACUGACGCUGAGGAGCGAAAGCGUGGGUAGCAAACAGGAUUAGAUACCCGGGUAGUC